rnacentral:rRNA from 1 species
GAAUUUUGGACAAUGGGCGAAAGCCUGAUCCAGCAAUGCCGCGUGCAGGAUGAAGGCCUUCGGGUGGUAAACUGCUUUUGUACGGAACGAAAAGCUUUGGGUUAAUACCCUGGAGUCAUGACGGUACCGUAAGAAUAAGGACCGCCUAACUCCGUGCCAGCAGCCGCGGUCAUACGUAGGGUGCAAGCGUUAGUCGGAUUUACUGGGGGGAAAGCGUGCGCAGGCGGUUGUGUAAGACGGAGGUGAAAUCCCCGGGCUCAACCUGGGAACUGCCUUUGUGACGGCAAGGCUAGAGUACGGCAGAGGGGGGUGGAAUUCCGCGUGUAGCAGUGAAAUGCGUAGAUAUGCGGAGGAACACCGAUGGCGAAGGCAACCCCCUGGGCCUGUACUGACGCUCAUGCACGAAAGCGUGGGGAGCAAACA